rnacentral:lncRNA from 1 species
UCACAUAUACCUGGUUCCAGCCCGUUUUCCUGAUUCUGGCUCAGCCAGUCCAAAGUAUCCUGGUUACCCCCACCAAAUGACUUCCACUUCCUCAGACCUGUUCCACAACAAAGACCCAGCACAGUUUGGAUUCUCCUUUAAGUGCUCAUGUGUCCACUGGACAACAAAUUUUAAGACUGUUGAGGCUGAAAAAGUUUGGUGACGCACUGACUCCCCUCCUCUAUAUUGUAUUUGUAUAAGGUCUAAUUUGUGUAGUAAACACUUGGUUCUGUUGAUCGUGCUAGUGACCAAGUGCUCCUGAUUCCACAGCGAUAGCUAUGAUGGUGCCAUCAAAGGAACCGCAUGAUCUGCUGUGUGUUCCUCUGCUGCGCUGUUCAGUGUAUCUGUGACCCAGUCCUUCCAUGUG